GUGAGGAAUUUUCCGCAAUGGGCGAAAGCCUGACGGAGCAAUGCCGCGUGAAGGAUGAAGGCCUAUGGGUUGUAAACUUCUUUUCUCAGAAAAGAAUUAUGACGGUAUCUGAGGAAUAAGCAUCGUCUAACUCUGUGCCAGCAGCCGCGGUAAGACAGAGGAUGCAAGCGUUAUCCGGAAUGAUUGGGCGUAAAGCGUCUGUAGGUUGUUUAAAAAGUAUUCUGUCAAAGAUUAGGGCUUAACCCUAGAUAGGCAGAAUAAACUUUUAAGCUAGAGUUUGGUAGAGGCAGAGGGAAUUCCCGGUGGAGCGGUGAAAUGCGUAGAUAUCGGGAGGAACACCAAAGGCGAAGGCACUCUGCUGGGCCAAUACUAACACUGAGAGACGAAAGCGAGGGGAGCAAAUGGGAUUAGAAACCCGUGUAGUCC
rnacentral:rRNA from 1 species